AAAAAGUAGCAAUGCAAAAACCGCAAGGCUCUGCUGUCUCCCAACCCAAUAACCUAACAAAGUGUUCGAAUUUGGAUACCCUGUAAAUACACAUGUCCUAUUAAAUGGAAGGAACGCGAGAUAGCUGGGAUACAUAUCGUGGAGACCGUGUAGGUCAUAUCCUACAGACAAAUUUGGGCAUGGAAAAGCUGCCGACGCGAUGGGUGCCGCGGCUGCUGACGCCAUGAUGGAUUCACUGGUACACAUCAGAAACCCAGGCUCGGUCGAAGCAGUGGACUUCAUGCUCCGAAGACCCACCUAUCGGAUCGAAAGGUUACGACCACCGUUUUCUGGGAUUCACAAGGUGUAAUCUUUAUUAACUACCUGAAGAACGGCAAACCGGCUUCUAUAAAGGUCUACUAUGAUGAAUUAUUGGGCCGACUCGACACAGAAUAGCAGAAAAAACUGCCCCAUUUGGCGAAAAAAAAGUGGUCUGUCACAACAACGCAUGUUCUCACACAUCCGCCAUCGCCAUGGCCAAAUUGAUCGAGGUUAGCAACGAAUUGCUGCCCCACCGUAUUCUAUAGAUCUGCCCAUGCGUCACCUCUUUUUGUUUACAAAUUUGAAAGAUUCCUUCUUAUUCGGAUUAAAAAUGUUAAUCGAAUAAGGAGGUUAUGACCGACCUUCAGAAAAAUUAUUUUUUAGUGGGGUUAAAAAAGUUGGAGCAUCGCUGAAUAAAGUUUAUCGAGCUAAAAGAGGACUAUGUUGAUAAAUAAACCGUCAAUUUCGUAAUCAAUCAAAUUCUGAAAGAUAUACAGGGUACGUCAAGAAGUCUGGGCAGCAGUCAACUUUAUUUUUUUGAAUAGAACAUCUAAUUUA